CACCUUUAGCUGAUGCCAGUCUAUUGUUCUGUCAUUCACGGUCGCUCAACCAACCUGUAAAGACCGUACUCCGUUUUUUCUCACGGACAUGUCGGCAGCGCGCCGUAAGCCGAAAUGUGUGGCGUCGGGAAGAGAUUCAAGGGCCUGGGAAGAAGUUCUUUGAGUUACCGUCCCGUCCACGACCACGACAACCUCCAGAGCAUCGCCAAACUGUCUUGCUACCCGAGGAGCCAUGACAACUUUCUGGCUCGUUCUACGAGGAGACCUGCGGUGUUCCACAAGCGGUGGGCGAAGAAGAUGCGUCCAUACCGACCGGCCCUGUUCUAUGCAGUAUCCGAAGAACAACAAUUCAGAGACUCUCGACUGUUGACUGAGUAAAGUCACCUCGCGUUUCGUGAGGAAGGUGAUGCGUGCGUACCUACCUGCCCUGUCGUAUG